rnacentral:rRNA from 1 species
UCUCAGUUCGGAUUGUAGUCUGCAACUCGACUACAUGAAGCUGGAAUCGCUAGUAAUCGCGAAUCAGAAUGUCGCGGUGAAUACGUUCCCGGGUCUUGUACACACCGCCCGUCACACCAUGGGAGUUGGGAAUGCCCGAAGCCGGUGACCUAACCGAAAGGGAGGAGCCGUCGAAGGCAGGCUUGAUAACUGGGGUGAAGUCGUAACAAGGUACC